AGUGAACGCUGGCGGUAGGCCUAACACAUGCAAGUCGAACGGCAGCACAGUAAGAGCUUGCUCUUACGGGUGGCGAGUGGCGGACGGGUGAGGAAUACAUCGGAAUCUACUUUUUCGUGGGGGAUAACGUAGGGAAACUUACGCUAAUACCGCAUACGACCUACGGGUGAAAGCAGGGGAUCUUCGGACCUUGCGCGAUUGGAUGAGCCGAUGUCGGAUUAGCUAGUUGGCGGGGUAAAGGCCCACCAAGGCGACGAUCCGUAGCUGGCCUGAGAGGAUGAUCAGCCACACUGGAACUGAGACACGGUCCAGACUCCUACGGGAGGCAGCAGUGGGGAAUAUUGGACAAUGGGCGCAAGCCUGAUCCAGCCAUACCGCGUGGGUGAAGAAGGCCUUCGGGUUGUAAAGCCCUUUUGUUGGGAAAGAAAAGCAGCAGGUUAAUACCCCGCUGUUCUGACGGUACCCAAAGAAUAAGCACCGGCUAACUUCGUG
rnacentral:rRNA from 1 species